rnacentral:rRNA from 1 species
UUUGGCCUACGGGGCGCAGCAGUGGGGAAUAUUGCGCAAUGGACGAAAGUCUGACGCAGCGACGCCGCGUGAGGGAUGAAGGUUUUCGGAUCGUAAACCUCUGUCAGGAGGGAAGAAAGCGCAUGGCGCCAAUCAGCCAUGCGUUGACGGUACCUCCAAAGGAAGCGCCGGCUAACUCCGUGCCAGCAGCCGCGGUAAUACGGAGGGCGCGAGCGUUAAUCGGAAUUACUGGUCGUAACGCGCGCGUAGGCUGUUGUGUAAGUUGUGGGUGAAAUCCCACGGCUCAACCGUGGAACAGCCCUUGG